GCUAGGCAACGGGGAGCUGCCGGGACAUGCUGAUGUGCGUGUGUCGCCGGCGGUAAUGACAUCAGAAGGCGACCGGUCCUGGCCCCUGACGGCGGGAGGAGAUGCUGAUCUGGGCACUUGUGGUGAGGUAUAAAGGUUGGCUCCCUCCGUGACGCCGUGGGCCGGCGUUCCGUGAUGACAUCAUUUUUCACUGAGAGUGUUCGGCGGACCUUUGGCACCAUGGACGGACGGUGGGGUAUUUAGAUCUAAGGAGUUGGUGUGCUUGAAGACAAAGAGCCUUGUCGAUUCAAACUAGACACUUUACAUGGAUACAUGAUUCAAACUAGGCACUAAGCACAGAUCAUUGGAUCUCCUUGAAUGGACUGAAUCAUAAAUGCAUUCAUGUAUUUGUUUAUUUGUUCACUGAAAUAUUAGAUUUUCCCAAUCAAGUGUUAUACACUGGCCUAGCGCCAAAAUUAUAUAUAUUAAAUAAGCCAAUUAUAAUUGGUUAAAAAUACUGCUAAAAAUAAUUUUUAAAAAUUCAAUUGAAGACUAUUGAGGGCAGUCUAAUUCCAGAGAAUCAUAGGAAUUCAAGUCAAUUGUUACCCAUUAAUGAAAUACACAAGAAAUUGUUUUAUCAGUUAAAUUGUUUGCUCUCAUAUACAAAGAUCUAUAUUGGAGUGAGGGUUUUUCCCGUUCCCACAAAAUGGGAGUCCAAUAAUAGGACACCCCUGAGGAAGUCACUAGAGAUUAAAUGCGUUGGGUGAAACAACACUUUUUAUUAAUAUUUAAUCACUGUAUGGACAAGAAAACUGU